rnacentral:tRNA from 1 species
GUUGUAGCUCAAUGGUAGAGUACUUGCCUAGCACAUGUGAGGCACUGGGUUCAAUCCCUAGCAUUACA